rnacentral:ncRNA from 1 species
AUAAAAUGAUGGGAUCAGUAAAUGACAUGUAUCCGUAUCAGAGAAGGGGUUCACUGGCUGAAAGACCCCCGCGGAAAGCACCAUUGAACCUGCCCUAGUAAACAUUGCUUAUGAAAACAUAAGCCGGUUUUUCCCCGUUACAGAUGCAAAGUGGGCGCAGUUUUGCGUCAAAAAAGGUGGUACCACGGAAAGCAUACCCGUCCUUUAU